GUCCCAAAGGCCACCACUCUGCCCGGUGACUGAGGAUGGGGCACUUGGCUUAUCAUCGCUUCUCUACCACAUCCAAGGCGACACCCAGCCCGACGCCCGCGGCGCCCAGCCCGUCCCUGGAACCCCAGCCAGGCAUGCCAUUCCCGAGGCGCCUCCUCUUCAUCCACGAUGCGGGGCCUCUUGUCCGGCUACUCUGAGGUGUGAGCCUCAGCCCAGCAAAUGCAGGAGGAUCAACUUAACAUUCAGAAAAGAAGCCAGUUACAAAAUCCAUGGCGAGAUCAAGAGAUUUCCUACCUGCUCCAGACAUAACCAUCCGGAAAGUACAAUGGGGAGAAAGGCAUCAUGGUUGCAUAGUUGGAGCCCAAAAUAACUAAGAAGUAACUUUAAAAGGAACAUGCAGCCGUGGCCGGGGUGCUCACUUGGUUAGAGCGUCGUCCCCAUAUGGCAAGACUGUGGGUUCUAUCCCCCAGACAGGGCACAUAUAAGAAUCAACCAAUGAAUGAAUUUAUCAAGUAGAACAACAAAUUGAUGCCUCUCUUUCUCUCCCUUUCUCUCUCUGAAGUCAAUCAAUAAAAAAUAAAAAGACA